rnacentral:rRNA from 1 species
GACAGAGGUGGCAACGUGUUCGGAAUUACUGGGCGUAAAGCGCGCGUAGGCGGCUUUGCAAGUCGGGUGUGAAAGUCCCCAGGCUUAACCUGGGAACUGCAUUCGAGACUGCAUUGCGUAAAGUAUGGGAGAGGGAAGUGGAAGUUUCCGGUGUAAGCGGUGAAAUGCGUAGAUAUGGAAGGAACAUCAGUGGACGAAAGACGACU